rnacentral:RNase_P_RNA from 1 species
CCAGUCGGCUGGACGGCCGCGGGGCGCGCAAGUGUCUCGAGGAAAGUCCGGGCUCCACGCGGAUACGGCGGCGGGCAACACCCGCCGAAAGUGAUUUCAGGGAUAGCGCCACAGAGAAUAGCACCCGCCUCGCUCGCAGAGCUUCGGCAGGAAGGUAAGGGUGAAACGGUGGUGUAAGAGACCACCGCGCCAACCGUAAGGAAGGCGGCACGGCAAGCCCCGCCGGGAGCAAGACCGAAUAGGAGCACGCGUCGCGCAAGCGUCAGGCCCGUCCGCGGGUUGUGCUCGGGUUGGUCGCGAGAACCAUGCGGCGACGUAUGGUCCAGAGGAAUGGUCGUCACCGCGCAAGCGGUACAGAACCCGGCUUAUAGGCCGACUGGCAUU